rnacentral:rRNA from 1 species
AUUGAACGCUGGCGGCAGGCCUAACACAUGCAAGUCGAGCGAGCGGCGGACGGGUGAGUAAUGUAUGGGGACUUCCCGAUAGAGGGGGAUAACUCCUGGAAACGGUAGCUAAUACCGCAUACUAUCGGAUAACCCAUAGGGGAUUUGCUAGUAGGUGAGGUAAUGGCUCACCUAGGCGACGAUCCCUAGGUGGUCUGAGGGGAUGAUAAGCCACACUGGGACUGAGACACGGCCCAGACUCCUACGGAGGAAGCAGUGGGGAAUAUGGCAAAAUGGGCGAAAGCCUGAUGCAGCCAUGCCGCGUGUAUGAAGAAGGCCUUAGGGUUGUAAAGUACUUUAAGUCGGGAGGCGUUACCGACAGAAGAAGCACCGGCUAACUCCGUGCCAGCAGCCGCGGUAAUAC